rnacentral:rRNA from 1 species
UACGUAGGGGGCUAGCGUUGUCCGGAAUCAUUGGGCGUAAAGCGCGUGUAGGCGGUCCGGUAAGUCCGCUGUGAAAGUCGAGGGCUCAACCCUCGAAUGCCGGUGGAUACUGUCGGGCUAGAGUGCGGAAGAGGCGAGUGGAAUUCCUGGUGUAGCGGUGAAAUGCGCAGAUAUCAGGAGGAACACCUAUUGCGAAGGCAGCUCGCUGGGACGUUACUGACGCUGAGACGCGAAAGCGUGGGGAGCAAACAGG